GAAACUGAGUGGGAAUGUGCUUUCUUGCUGCUUCACCUCCAUUAUCCCCAGAUGUAAACCCCUCCCAACACUGGAAGAGGAAACAGAGACCAGUGCGCUGUGCAGUCUCACUUAACUAGAAUGCACAACUCCUGCUUUUAUCACCAUUCUGGGAAAUCCCCGCUGCAUUUCAUGGCCAGGGCAGCACUUCAUAGUUGGAAAAGGAUGGUGUGGACUUGCCGCAGAGGCCCUAGAGAAGGCCAUCCUGUGUUCCUGCUCUCCUUCUCAUCCGGCUUCUACCCCCACCCCACCCCCCAACAAAAACGCUACAGGUUAUAAGAUCUACAUUCUGAACCUGGCUUUCAGGGGCUAGGUGUGUUGUGUGUUGCACAGCUCUAGAGGUAGCAUAGCCUUGAUCAUCGGGGUGGAGGUGUCUAUUUACUAUAUGUUGCAGCAGAUGGCAGUGAAGUGUCUUGAGGAAGAGGUGUUUUUAUCAUUUGAAGGUUAUGGGGUGUAAUAAUAAAGACUGCAAUUCACAGACCUUGAGCCUAGCAGGCCAAUGCCAAGGGCAGAACUGUAGGCUCCCACAGCACAGUUCCACAGAGGAAGGGGGCUGGUUAGUAAGGGGAAAGAAGGAUAGAAGACUGCAGUAAAUGUAAACAGCCGUAUUUUCAACAUAAUUUACUACAGGUCUCUGAAGUGUAUAUAAAAUGUUUUAGU
rnacentral:lncRNA from 1 species